rnacentral:tRNA from 1 species
UGGCUCAGUGGUAGAGUGCUUGCCUUGCAUGCAUGAGGCCUUGGGUUCGAUUCCUUA